rnacentral:rRNA from 1 species
AGAGUUUGAUCCUGGCUCAGAACGAACGCUGGCGGCGUACUUAACACAUGCAAGUCGGACGAGAAAGGAGACUUCGGUCUCUGAGUACAGCGGCGAACGGGUGCGUAACACGUGAGCAACCUGCCCCGAAGACCGGGACAACCCGAGGAAACUCGGACUAAUACCGGAUGCCCUCACCGGAUCGCAUGGUCUGGCGAGGAAAUGGAUUCCGCUUCGGGAUGGGCUCGCGGUCUAUCAGCUUGUUGGUGGGGUAACGGCCUACCAAGGCGACGACGGAUAGCUGGUCUGAGAGGACGAUCAGCCACACUGGGACUGAGACACGGCCCAGACUCCUACGGGAGGCAGCAGUGGGGAAUCUUGGGCAAUGGGGGAAACCCUGACGCAGCGACGCCGCGUGCGGGUUAAAGGCCUUCGGGUUGUAAACCGCUUCAGCAGGGACGAAAUGACGUACCUGCAGAAGAGUCCGA